UGAAGGCAUUAUUGGCGUUGGGGGGACUGUUUGGAGGCAGCGACGCCGCGUGGGGGAUGAAGGUCUUCGGAUUGUAAACCCCUUUCGGGAGGGAAGAUGGAGUGGGUAACCACUUGGACGGUACCUCCAGAAGCAGCCACGGCUAACUUCGUGCCAGCAGCCGCGGUAAUACGAAGGUGGCAAGCGUUGUUCGGAUUCACUGGGCGUACAGGGAGCGUAGGCGGUUGGGUAAGCCCUCCGUGAAAUCUCCGGUCCUAACCCGGAAAGUGCAGAGGGGACUGCUCAGCUAGAGGAUGGUAGAGGAGCGCGGAAUUCCCGGUGUAGCGGUGAAAUGCGUAAAGAUCGGGAGGAAGGCCGGUGGCGAAGGCGGCGCUCUGGAACAUUUCUGACGCUGAGGCUCGAAAGCGUGUGGAGCACCCAGGAUUACAUACCCUGGUAGUCCACGCCUUAAACUAUGGAUACUAAGUGUCGGCGGCUUACCGCCGUGGCCGUAUCUAACGCAAUAAGUAUCCCGCCUGUGAAGUACGGUCGCACGGUUGAACACUCA
rnacentral:rRNA from 1 species